rnacentral:rRNA from 1 species
UUCCUACGGGACGCAGCAGUGGGGGAUAUUGCACAAUGGGGGGAAACCUGAUGCAGCGACGCCGCGUGGGUGAAGAAGCGCCUCGGCGCGUAAAGCCCUGUCAGCAGGGAAGAAAAUGACGGUACCUGAAGAAGAAGCCCCGGCUAACUACGUGCCAGCAGCCGCGGUAAUACGUAGGGGGCAAGCGUUAUCCGGAUUUACUGGGUGUAAAGGGGGCGCAGACGGCGAUGCAAGCCAGAAGUGAAAGCCCGGGGCUCAACCGCGGGACUGCUUUUGAAACUGUGUAGCUAGAGUGCAGGAGAGGG